UGAAUGUGAAAUAAUAGAAGUUCUCCGAAGUUUAAUUACACUAAAGUUAAGUUACUUAAAGUUCUCCCUAAACCCUCAAACAUUGUGAUUGGUGAUUUUCAACAUGAACAACAAUACGAAACGGACGAAAGAGAAGAAGGAAAAACAAAGAAGCCAUUCUCGAAGGUACUUCAUUUCAUUUUCAUUUUGACGUGUGGGAGACUCUUUAUUAUUCGGUCGCAUCACUUUGGUACCUAGGAAACGCAACGACCGUUCCUCCAGCGCUCAAAAUGCCAGUUUUGUACACCGCGGUUGCGGUCUAUUACCCCAUCGAUGUGGUAAAAAUGAAUGUGAACUUGAUAAAAAAAGCAAGUUCUUAUGCACGAGUCCAAGAGAGUCAUUUUUACCAGAAGAAUAGAAAUUUUUAGGUAGCGCGCAUUGAAUUUGACACUUGUUCUUUUGAGAAAUCACGGAAGUGCAGAAUGAGUGAUGAACAGCUACUACUGAUGACUUUACCCGAAAUGACGAUGAAGAUGAAGAACAUAGACGACGAAUAAAUCCUGCCAGGAAAAAAACCGUGAUCAAAGGACGAAGCCCUCGAUAUGUAAACCAAGGGGCAGCAAAUGGUCACCAUUGAAAGACUUGUGGCAGGAUGGCUCUGAAUUAAUAAACAAAGCAGCACAAAUACUGACAGUAUGGCGAUUUGGGGGAACAGUCCUGUCGCUCAAUGCUCUAGUCACAAACCGCAAGCUUUUCGAGCAGAUCGAAAGCUCGGUAGAGGUUUGCAAAUUUUGAUUAGAUCUCGAUUGCAGUGUAAUAAUUUCGUUCGAGAGUUACUCCUGCAAAUGAGAGAAAAGCUGGUUCCAGCUGGCAAUUCUAAAAACAAGACUGUUUCACCAAAUAAUUCCACGAGUACUGAACUCAUUGGCGAUGUGAUAGAUAAAAGUCUGGAGAAUUUUUGCCACAAUCCUGUUGGCUGUAUGGGAGUUAAAAGGAUAGAGAGAUCCAAAAUAUGUACAUGA
rnacentral:lncRNA from 1 species